rnacentral:rRNA from 1 species
AUGCCAGACUCCUACGGGAGGCAGCAGUGGGGGAUAUUGCACAAUGGGGGGAACCCUGAUGCAGCGACGCCGCGUGGGUGAAGGAGCGUUUCGGCGCGUAAAGCCCUAUCGGCAGGGAAGAAGGAGGACGGUACCUGACUAAGAAGCCCCGGCUAACUACGUGCCAGCAGCCGCGGUAAUACGUAGGGGGCAAGCGUUAUCCGGAUUUACUGGGUGUAAAGGGGGCGCAGACGGCAGCGCAAGCCAGGAGUGAAAGCCCGGGGCUCAACCCCGGGCAUGCAUUGGAAACUGGCGGGCUGGAGUGCCGGAGAGGUAAGCGGAAUUCCUAGUGUAGCGGUGAAAUGCGUAGAUAUUAGGAGGAACACCAGUGGCGAAGGCGGCUUACUGGACGGCAACUGACGCUGAGGCUCGAAAGCGUGGGGAGCAAACAGGAUUAGAUACCCUGGUA